AGAUGGAAACAAUACCUUUAUUUUAUUUGUUAUUUUUUCAUGUGGUGCUGAGGAUCCAACCCAGUGCCUCACGCAUGCUAGGCAAGCGCUCUACCACUGAGCCACAACCACACCCCCUAGGAUCCCAUUCUUAUGGUGGUACAUGAUGUGGAGUUUCACUGGUGGAGUAUUCAUAAAUGAACAAAAUUGGACACCAAAGACAUGGAAUUUGAUUGGAUAUCAUAAUGGUAACAUAUUGAUGAGCCAGCCAGAAGGUGAGCCCCUUUCCAAGGGGCACUGAGGAAUUGAGUGUCCCCAUUCCAGAAGAUGGACUAGGUCAGUCAAGACCAUAGCAGCACAGACCCUCCUGGAUGGAGAAAAUGUUGACUGAGGAUACCGGAGGUGGCCACAGAAGCUCCUAUGUGACAUUACCAUCUCUCUUGAGGAACGUCAGGGUGAGAGGUCACCUGUGGAAUGGCUAUCGGACUUUUUCUGGAUGCUGGCCUAAACAGAUGCUGACAGACAUCUUCAGGGAUUGCUCUUUUGCUCCUAUAAUAAUCCUGGGCCCGGACUCCCCCCACUGGUUGAACCUAUACAACACAGGGUAACAUAUCCAGGAGAAGACUGACAGAUGGAUUUUACCCAUAUGCCUGCUUGCUGACGAUUUAAAUACCUGCUUGUCCUAGUAGACACUUUUACUGGGUGGGUUGAAGCCUACCCCACAAGGACAGAAAAGGGUAUAGAAGUAGUGAAAGCCCUACUAACAGAAAUAAUUCCUAGAUUUGGGCUUCCCUAAAGCUUACAGAGUAACAGUGGACUUUGUAUCCCAGGUCACACAAGGGGUUGCGAAAGCCUAGGGAAUUACAUAGCAUCUACAUUCAGCUUGGAAACCCCAAUCAUAGGGAAGGUAGAAAGAACUAACCAGACCCUAAAACAGACCUUAGUUAAACUCUGUCAGGAAAUCUCUGAAAUAGGGUGACCUUACUACCCAUCACCCUCAUGAGAAUUUGAAAUGCAUAUAGGACCCAGCUAAAUAUCAGCCCUUAUGAGAUGCCAUAUGGGCGGCCAUUUCUAUCAAAAGAACUUGUGCCAGAUCAGAAUCUGUUGAACUCAUUAAAUACCUAACAAUUUGGGAAAUUCCAACUAGAUAUUCAAGCCAUAGGAAACUAUGUCCUUUCAACUCCUAAAGAGGGAGAAACCUUUCAGGUUUUACCUGAAGAUCAGGUGUUUACCUGGAGAACAGAUGUUAAUAUAAACAUGGAAGGAAGGAUCCUCAGAGGAUCAGUGGAAGCCAAAAUGGAAAGGUACAUAUCAGGAAUUCUGGCUACACCCACAACUAUAAAAUCAGUGGAGAUCAACAACUGGAUUCACCUGCGAAAGGUGAAGCAAGCAUUGCCUGACCAUUACACCCCUCUUGAGGAAACUUGGACCAGUGAGCCAGUUGAAGACCUCAAGUUCAUUUUCAAGAAGCAACCACCAAAAGAUAUGUGAAUGUCUCCUGAUCUUAUACCCCACCUGAGGUGGGCUCCAAUUCUGGGAAUUAUCUUCCUCUGUGGGUUUCUUGUGUUUGGGAUUCUGCUACUUCUAAGACUCUAUUCUCAAGGAUAAGGCCCUUUGCUGUCUCUUUAACAUGGGGCUACUUUCCCAGAGGACUGCUAUCCUAGUUUUCCCCAUUUCUCAUCCUGACCUUAGGACUAACUUUUACCCUAUGACCAGUAAUUGGCUCAAAUCAGCAUCUGGGAGGAUUUUGGGAUUGGAUGUACCUUUUGGAAACCUUAAACCUUACUUGUCAACUCCUAAAACAAUCACAUCCUGGAUUGGCUCAGGACUGUUGGCUGUGCCUGUCAUCAAACUCUAUAGAAAACACUGCCAUUCCUGUCUCUGCCCCAAUAGGUGCUACUAGCAAAAUGAGUCUCCAUCAUAAAUACGAAGGGAAUUUAUGAUUCUGCAUUCCAGCUAAUGACCUUAGAUGCUUUUUACAACUUCCAAAUUGCAGAGAUGACCAAAAUCCACAAUGAAUAGAAGGACAGUUUAACUCCUCCAGUCCUAUCAAAAUAAUCUUCCUAAAACUUCAUCUUGUCUGCUAAUAUGAGGAUUUAUUAUAACCCAAACCAGGCUCAAGUUCCAGUGCCCCUCUAUGUCCAGAGGGAAUAAAAUUCUGGGUAUAACUUGGAAACAUUAGAAAGCCAUCUUUGCAACCAUACCUUAAAAAUUACCCCACAGAAUGGCCACUUUAAUUCCAUUGUGAUACAAGUUGCCCCCUUUAGAAAACGUGUAUGGUUCUCAUUUAAACCUUUUUUAAAGAAGGACACAUUAUUAAAUAAACACUCAGGCUAUUGUCAAAAUAGAUCCUCUGCCUAUAGAGACAUCUUCCCUUGGGAGGUCUGAUCGAACCCAGCCUUUACUGAGUGCUUACUUGUACCUAAUUAUCAAAACUCAAACAAAUGGAUUCUAAUUGACAUAAAAAGAACUCCUUGCAUUGGGAAAAUAAAACCUUGGAAACAAUCCCAGACCAGUCCCAUGGCCCCUUCCAACCUCUGACAGGGGUUACACUGGAUGGAACCCUAUCAAUAUGGGAGUCUGAAAAUAAUGAAAUAACUACAUAUUUUAUCAAACUCAGUUUCUGUAUGGAAUCACCAGGAAUCUUUGUAUUUUGUUGAAAAAAUUUUACUUGUGUCUACCAGCAAGGGCUAUAUUCAAAGCAUAAAAUAGACCAGUGUCACAUAGGUAUGGAAAUAUAUUUUAGUAUGGAAAAUUAGAAAGUAAAAGAAAUGUUUCUAGAUAAGAAAACAUUUUAUCUGGUAAAGUAAUAUUUUUGUGCUAAAGUCCAAGAUGUAAGAGAAGACAAAUCUAAGGAAGUAAACAAGUGGUACAAUGUAUAAGUAAGUUGCAGAAGGUUUAUGGAAGGUAAAUCUCAAAAAGUUUGGGUAUAUGAUUAAAUUGGCUAAAAUCAGCACAUUUAUUAACUAUAUUCAAAUUUUAAUGUAAUGAUAUGAAGCAAAGUCUGAAACAUUGAUCUGCUCUUAUCUGUAUAAUUUUCUUGUAUCUGUUAGGUUUUAUUGUUUAGAUGAACUAAAUCUGAAAGGAAUUAGACUUUUUACCUGUUUUAAAGUCUUUUAAAUGAUUUCUUCAUAACUGGUUAAAUAAACAAACUGUUAUUUCAGGUUAUAACAAUAUAGUUUACAAUUGAGGGGAGUGAGGGGAGGAUGGGGUUGUGGGAAUGGGAAGGACAGUAGAAUGAGACAGACAUUAUUACCCUAUAAACAUGUAUGAUUACAUUACUGGUGUGACUGCACCAUGAGAUGCUAUAUGGACACCAAAGGAAUGAGAAGUUGUGCUCCAUUUGUGUACAAUGUGUCAAAAUGCAUUCUCCUGUCAUGUAUAACUAAUUAGAACAAAUGGAAAAAAUAUAAUAAAAUCAAUCAGCUUAUUAGCAUUUUUUUCUGUUGAA